rnacentral:rRNA from 1 species
CUGCUGCCUCCCGUAGGAGUUUGGGCCGUGUCUCAGUCCCAAUGUGGCCGCCCACCCUCUCAGGCCGGCUACUGAUCGUCGCCUUGGUGGGCCGUUGCCCCGCCAACUAGCUAAUCAGACGCGGGCCCAUCCCGCACCGCCAAGGCUUUCCGCCUCGCCCCAUGCGGGCGUGGCGCCCAUGCGGUAUUAGCAGCCGUUUCCGGCUGUUGUCCCCCAGUGCGGGGUAGGUUGCCCACGCGUUACUCACCCGUCCGCCACUGGGCGGCG